UACGUAGGGCGCAAGCGUUGUCCGGAAUUAUUGGGCGUAAAGGGCGCGUAGGUGGUCAGGUAAGUCAGGUGUGAAAGCUCUGGGCUUAACCCAGGAAUUGCAUCUGAUACUGCUUGGCUUGAGUACGGUAGAGGAGGGUGGAAUUCCCAGUGUAGCGGUGAAAUGCGUAGAUAUUGGGAGGAACACCGGUGGCGAAGGCGGCCCUCUGGACCGAAACUGACACUGAAGCGCGAAAGCUAGGGGAGCAAACGGG
rnacentral:rRNA from 1 species